GUAAGGAAUAUUGCUCAAUGGGAGAAAUCCUGAAGCAGCAACGCCGCGUGAGGGAUGAAGGGCUUUUGCUCGUAAACCUCUGUAGUGAGGGAAAAAAUUUCCACUCUGUGGAAUAUGAUGGUACCUCAAAAGUAAGCCCCGGCUAACUACGUGCCAGCAGCCGCGGUAAUACGUAGGGGGCAAACGUUGUCCGGAUUUACUGGGUGUAAAGGGUGCUCAGGCGGUUUUGUAAGUCAGAAGUGAAAUCCUAGAGCUUAACUCUGGAACUGCUUUUGAUACUGCAAGGCUUGAAUGUGGAAGAGGAGGAUGGAAUUUCUGGUGUAGCAGUGAAAUGCGUAGAUAUCAGAAAGAACACCAGUGGCGAAGGCGAUCCUCUGGUCCACUAUUGACGCUAAAGCACGAAAGCGUGGGGAGCAAACAGGAUUAGAAACCCGUGUAGUCC
rnacentral:rRNA from 1 species